UGAGCUCCAGGUUGCUUCGAGGCUUUGAGUCCUAUCAUAUCUUUUUGCGUUGUAUAGUAUCUUAUCAUGAAGCGGGGCCUGUCCCGACCCUUAUAAGAUAAUGUUUCUUGUCUAGAGGCUUUGUAGACUACGUAAAGUAUAGUAUGGUCAUGUAUCGUACCGUAGACAUUGUGGCUCCAACGGCCUAGUCAUAUAAUAUCUUUUGGCUUGCUAGUCCUAUUUAUCUUUUGAGGGCAUGUUUAGUAUGAAAGUAACUUAUAAUGUUCAUAGGUAAUGUGUCGCUACAGGUUGGUUCUCCCGAGCCUUACCGGCAACGGGUGCCAGUCCGCCUUAAUAGGAAUUGGGGCGUG
rnacentral:lncRNA from 1 species